rnacentral:lncRNA from 1 species
UUAAUUAAUCAUUCUAAAAGCAGCCCUGAGCCUUUGAAUAACAAUGUUUAAUUGUAUCCUUAGCCUUCAACUUCACCUACACCAGCCAUAGUCCUACUUCCACCAGAAAAGGAGUCUACCAGAGAGGACAACCGUUAUGAAACCUUACAGUUUGGUAAAAACCAGGACGAGGUAAAACAAGGCUAAUGGUCAAUAUAUAUAGUUAUAAAGAUACGUAUAUAGAUAUAAA